CACGGAGGGGUCGUGCGCAGAAGACGGGGGGCUGCUGGUACCCUCGGGGAGAGGCGUUGGCAGCGAGGAGUCUGGGGGGGAACUUGCAUGAGACCAGCCUUUGCUGCCUGAGCUCUGCCUGCGGAUGUGUAACCAGGGAUGGACUAGUGGAAAGGAGCAUUCAGUGAACAUCUGAAGGUCUCUAACCAGAAAUAUGCACUCAAGGAGGCAGGUGAGGAGAAAAUAAGAAGGUAGAGGAACAGACCAUCUUGUGCCCAGAAACUUUAACAACCAGCCUGGGGGCGGUGAGGAAGCACUGACGUGCAGGAUUUGGCCAUCACCAUGGUGACAGCGCUCCCACAGUGGCCAUCCCUAGGAAAGGGGUGAAGCAGCUCAGCACCACAAGCAUUUCUACCACACGGAUACGACACCCCUCAACAGCCUCAAGGGCACAGGUCAUCGUAAAAUGUAGGAAAAGAAUUCCUGAUGAGACCUCGCAAAAUUCCUGAAAUGCAGGAGCUGGUACAGGCCAUCUGGAAUGAGGAGUGGGUACCGGGCUGUCCUCCUUACCUCUGAGCCUCUCAUCACUGGAGCAGCCAGACCGUCAGGGACCCAGGCCACCUCCUGCCAGCUUCCGUCCCCUCGAUAUCACCCAGACCGUUCCUUCCUCCCUUCUUCCCACAAAUAACCACAAAUAAAGGCUAACUUUUCU